GUAUGCCCUAUGGAAGCAUCAUGGACAGUGGAACACAAUCCUUCAGCACUCACCAACACAUCGGAUAACAGCAUUCAUUUCGUGGAGUCGGACUUCGCCAUUGGCUGCAAUGCAGAAGUUGGCACAGACACCGGAGCAUGCGGUGACAUGUCCCUCACUCAUCUGACUGCCGGUUGCAAGCCUAAAGAGAGUGCCAGAAGUG